rnacentral:siRNA from 1 species
UCUGCAAAGGAUUCUACCCGC